GAACUUUCCUCAAAGAGAUGCAUUGGUUCAAUGGAUCUCUAUUGGGAGAUGCUGAUUGGCCAGGGCUGUGUUUGGCUUGUGCUGGCUCGGUCACUAAUCUACCUCCUUGACAGACUCAGAAAAUCCUAUAGGAAAGAAUUGUGAUUGGUCGAGAUCACCACUUCUGAUGAUGUCAGCCAAGCAGGCACAUCGGAUAGAGCCAGCAGCUGCAGACAAAAAGUAAG